ensembl:lncRNA
UUUUUUUUUUUUUUUUUUUGUCUCCGUGGUUCCCCGGUGGCAGAUCCCGGCCGCUCUGCCCCGGCCGUGCGCCUUCGCCCCGCGCCCGACGGACGGCAGCCCCCGACGGAGGGAUGUUUCUGUCUUUGGUUAUCUAGCUGUAUGAGUGUUGUGGAGCCAUCAUAAAGCUAGAUAACCGAAAGUAGAAAUGACUUCCAGACCUGCACGCCCGGGGGAAGCGGCUGCAGCAGCACCAGCGGCCCCGCAGCCCGCAGCAGCCCCGCCCGCCGCCCUCCGCCCGCCACCUCGGGGCUCCAGAGCUGACUGCGAGUUCAUGGAGCAGGAUGCCUUGGGAAGGGCUGGGACGUCUCCACCUGAGCGAGGAGAGGCCCCCGGAGCAGAACGGAGGUGUAAUGCUGAGGAGCUGCAGGGGAGAGCGCAGCUUUGGUCACAUUGGAGUUGGAGGUCUUGAACCAGGGAGGAGAUCCCAGUGAGAGGAGAAGGGAUGUCCUAAGCCUGAGAGCUCCUUCCUGGCUGCCCUCUGCCUGCACUCUGCCCAUUGUCUCAAGGAUUCUCCAGGAGGGGCCCAACCUGCAACGGCACCAGCAAGAGGCAGUGUUGGCUCCUGGACGUGGAGGGGUUCUGCAGAGCUUCACACCUGCGGGGAGGGAGCCAGGGCUCCGUGUAACUCCUGUAUGUCACCUCCAGGACCCAAAUUCCCCUGGGCAGAGGGGUGUGAGCGCUGUCUCAGCUGGGUGUGGGGAUGUUGGUGGGAGCAGGAAGGAGGUGUGAGUGGGAUGGAUGCCGUGUUUAGAGGCUCUGCUCAUGGAGCAGAGCUUGGCCCACACUGUCCAUCCACGGGUGCGUGAUGGACUCACCAUGGACUGACCGUGCCCGGUCUGGGCAGCAUUCCAUUGCACUGUAAGAAAAACGCACUGUAAUUCUCCUCUAUUAAAACCAACCCCACCCCAUGCGCUGUUGCAAAUAAACACUCCUUUCUGCAAAAGCGAGCUGUGUGA